AGAGACAGCAGUAGCCACGGUAAUACGUAGGUGGCAAGCGUUGUCCGGAAUUAUUGGGCGUAAAGCGCGCGCAGGCGGAUCGGUCAGUCUGUCUUAAAAGUUCGGGGCUUAACCCCGUGAUGGGAUGGAAACUGCCAAUCUAGAGUAUCGGAGAGGAAAGUGGAAUUCCUAGUGUAGCGGUGAAAUGCGUAGAUAUUAGGAAGAACACCAGUGGCGAAGGCGACUUUCUGGACGAAAACUGACGCUGAGGCGCGAAAGCCAGGGGAGCGAACGGGAUUAGAUACCCGCGUAGUCCCUGUCUCUUAUACA
rnacentral:rRNA from 1 species